UACGAAGGGGGCUAGCGUUGCUCGGAAUCACUGGGCGUAAAGGGUGCGUAGGCGGGUUUUUAAGUCAGGGGUGAAAUCCUGGAGCUCAACUCCAGAACUGCCUUUGAUACUGAAGAUCUUGAGUUCCGGGAGAGGUGAGUGGAACUGCGAGUGUAGAGGUGAAAUUCGUAGAUAUUCGCAAGAACACCAGUGGCGAAGGCGGCUCACUGGCCCGGUACUGACGCUGAGGCACGAAAGCGUGGGGAGCAAACAGGG
rnacentral:rRNA from 1 species